CCGCCGCCGCCCGGCCUCCUCCUUCCACCCCUCCGGCCGGCUCCUCUCCCGCCCGCGCCGCCUCCUCCUCCCCACCAGCGCCUCCCUCUCCUCCUUCCCCGCCGCCGCCCGGCCUUGGGGAAAGAUUUCGACUGCAUCCAGAGAGGGAAAGAUUUCGAGGGGGAGGAGAAGGGGAGAGCAGAGAAGCUUGGAGGGCGGCGGGCGGCGGCGAUGGACGGUGAGUGGUGGAGGAAGAAGUGGGUGGCGUGGGCGGCGGCGGCGGCGGCGGCCAUCUUCGUGGUGCUGCCCCCUCCCCCUCGCGCCGCCGCCCUCAGAGAAGCACCGCAACGGCUGCUGCUCCUUGUCGCCGCUCCUCACCCACCCACCGCGGCUGCCUCCUCCCUCGGAACCCUAGCCAACCGCACGCAACCCAUGGCGUCGCCCAGCUCGCCGCCCCUUCAAACCCUAGAUCCGCCCGUGCCUCCCUGCCCCGCCGCCGUGCAGUUCCUGCCCCUACCCCGUCGAGCGGCUCAUGGCGGUGCCGGAUCCGGUGUCGGGGUCGAGGCGCGCUGCCCGUGCGUGGGGAGAGGCACCCGGACCUGGUCCAAGACUUGCACCACGGCAUGCUCGUUUCCUUGAUGCGAUUCCGUCCGUCGUCCUACAGGUAAAUCUUCGAUCUACAGCUUCUCCUGCUUGGUCUCUCCUCUCGUAUUCGUCGUCGGGCCCGUGCUGAGGCUCCAAGGAUAUGCAGGAAUAAAGAUGGCAACUUUUGGGGGCAAUGUUAUUUUAAAGUCUGAUGAUUGUUAUGUGGUGCAAGAGGGUGUUGAGCUGAUAGGUAAUUGCAGGAGUCGAUGAUAUGUAUAUUCCAGCACCUUUACUCAAGCAUGUGCCGCUCAACAUGAUCUGUAGAACACUGAAUGGAUGCACAAGAAAAGGAAAAAGGCAGCAAGGAGGGAGAGGAUAUUUUUGUAAGGAGCUGUGGUACACAUGCAUAUUGAGCCUAGGUACACAGAUGACUCAUCAAUCGAAGCUUGGUACAGGUGAAAUUGUGAGUGUUUUCUACGCAACCAGAGAAAGCUUGCUCGUAAUUCAGUCAAGAAGGGGACGAUGAAGAGGAGGCCGUGAAUGUGUUGAUUCAGGAUCCAACUGUAUGAUCCACUGGGCGGGGGCGCUGGUACCUUCAACAGUAGCACAUCGGGGGACAAAGAAGAAGAUUGGGGCCGCCUGGACGAAGAUCGGGAGCUGCACCACCACUAGCAGAAGCAGCAGAGGCGGAGGAAGAUGGCAACAACAGAAGAGGCCGGAGUGGCGGAAGGGAGCGUGCCGGCGGCCGAAGCGGACGGCCCAGGCCCUGCGAGCGGCACAGGUAGGCGGCGGUGUUCACCUCUGUGGCAGCUGCGCAGGUGGGCGGCGGUGCUGGGUACGCGAGCAGGAUGACGAGGAGAUGCCGCCCAUCAGUCGUGGAGCCGCCGCCCGUUGAGUUGUUGCCGGAGAGGAGCAGGCGGGCGGCUGCGAAGCUUGCCUCCGUGUGCGCAGUUUGGCAACUGCAGGAUAUUGGAGCGACAUGGAUUUGCGAUGCCGGCACUGAUCUUCCCGCCGAGCUCACCCCUCGCCAUCGCCGGGAGGAGACACCACUGGUCAGAUACAUAGUCAGUAGAGCGGCCUGUCUGCCUCCAUACAGCCAUGAUGCGAGGCACGCAGGAGGUGCUGGAUUGGAUCAAGCGCAGAGGUGCGGGAUCGAGGCAAGGAGAUGCGCGAUCAAGCCACUCGAAGCGAGGGGAGACGGGGUCCGUGCCCGAGGCGAUUCUGCCUGACGCCAUGGUUCUUCUAGUGAAACUGCUCCGGUGAAGCUGUGUCACCGCCGGCACGUCCAUCACAACCACUACCGCUCAAGGUACAAGAAUUCACUUUGAUUGCAGAUCCCUACAGAAGUAAAUCCAUGGCUACUGGACUGUUGUGCGUGCUUCACCUUGGUUCGUCGAAGAUGUGUCCGCUGGCAUGCUGCUCCUUAUGCAGAUAAUGAGAAACAAUCUAAUGAUCUAUUUUACCACUAAUUACAAUGACAUGGUGUAAAUGCUGAUGCUUGAGCCUGUCGUAGAAUCUACUUGUGUUAAGUACCUGUACUAUGAUUUUAACCUACAAAAUGUGGAACAUACAAGCAUUACUACCAUGUAUCAUUUAGUUCUGUGUGUGUUUCAUAGUGAUCCAUUACUACUAUAUGUGUUUUCUUCUCCCACCUCUUUGAGAAAGUUGUUUCCAUAUCUGCUCCUGUUUUAUAUUUUACAGACUUUGAACUUGCUGGGGCUGGAACGGAAAUGGAACAGGCACAAGAGCUUGAGGUGUUUGCACCAAUUGCUUUCUUCACACAAGGCCAUGGCUUUGAUCAUCGUGGACGUCACCGACCACCUAUUCUAACUCUGGCAAGUACCCGAUGAUACAUGAUGCCACAAGCUCUUGUGAUGUACCAUGUAAACUACCGUGUGAUCUACCUUUUUUGUGAACACGGCCUCUUUGGCAUGUCUAUCCAUCCUUUUGUACUUAAUAUCUACCUUGUACAAAUAUUGCAUCCUUUAUUUUACCAUGUAUGAACAUUUGCAUCCUUUAAAUGUGUUUACUAUC